rnacentral:rRNA from 1 species
GACGAACGCUGGCGGCGUGCUUAACACAUGAAAGUCGAACGAAGUGGCGAACGGGUGAGUAACGCGUAAUAAACCUGCCCUUCAGAGGGGGACAACAGUAGGAAACGACUGCUAAUACCGCAUACUGAAGGAGGGGAUUGAGGCUGAUUAGCUAGUUGGAGGGGUAACGGCCUACAAAGGCGAUGAUCAGUAGCCGGUCUGGUAGGAUGAACGGCCACCUUGGGACUGAGACACGGCCCAGACUCCUACGGGAGGCAGCAGUGGGGAAUCUUCUGCAAUGGACGAAAGUCUGACGGAGCAACGCCGCGUGAGUGAUGACGGCCUUCGGGUUGUAAAGCUCUGUUAAUCGGGACGCGGUACCGGAAUAGAAAGCCACGGCUAACUACGUGCCAGCAGCGGCGGUAAUAC